rnacentral:rRNA from 1 species
AUAAGCGGAGGAAAAGAAACUAACAAGGAUUCCCCUAGUAACGGCGAGUGAAGCGGGAAGAGCUCAAAUUUGAAAUCUGGUAGCCUUCGGCUGCCCGAGUUGUAAUCUAGAGAAGUGUUUUCCGUGCCGGCCCAUGUACAAGUCCCUUGGAACAGGGCGUCAUAGAGGGUGAGAAUCCCGUCCUUGACAUGGACCCCCGGUGCUUUGUGAUACACUUUCAACGAGUCGAGUUGUUUGGGAAUGCAGCUCAAAAUGGGUGGUGAAUUCCAUCUAAAGCUAAAUAUUGGCGAGAGACCGAUAGCGAACAAGUACCGUGAGGGAAAGAUGAAAAGCACUUUGGAAAGAGAGUUAAACAGUACGUGAAAUUGUUGAAAGGGAAACGAUUGAAGUCAGUCAUGCUCUUUGGAUUCAGCCGUUCUGCGGUGUAUUUCCAUUGAGUGGGGUCAACAUCAGUUUUGACCGCUGGAUAAAGGCACUAGGAAGGUAGCACUCUCGGGUGAACUUAUAGCCUAGCGUCAUAUACAGUGGUUGGGACUGAGGAACGCAGCAUGCCUUUAUGGCCGGGAUUCGUCCACGUACAUGUUAGGAUGUGACAUAAUGCUUUAA